rnacentral:rRNA from 1 species
CCUACGGGUGGCUGCAGUGGGGAAUAUUGGACAAUGGGGGGAACCCUGAUCCAGCCAUGCCGCGUGUGUGAAGAAGGCCCUCGGGUUGUAAAGCACUUUCAGUGAGGAAGAACGCCUGGUGGUUAAUACCCAUCAGGAAAGACAUCACUCACAGAAGAAGCACCGGCUAACUCCGUGCCAGCAGCCGCGGUAAUACGGAGGGUGCGAGCGUUAAUCGGAAUUACUGGGCGUAAAGCGCGCGUAGGUGGCUUGAUAAGCCGGUUGUGAAAGCCCCGGGCUCAACCUGGGAACGGCAUCCGGAACUGGCAAGCUAGAGUGCAGGAGAGGAAGGUAGAAUUCCCGGUGUAGCGGUGAAAUGCGUAGAGAUCGGGAGGAAUACCAGUGGCGAAGGCGGCCUUCUGGACUGACACUGACACUGAGGUGCGAAAGCGUGGGUAGCAAACAGGAUUAGAUACCCGAGUAGUC